rnacentral:rRNA from 1 species
GCAGUGAGGAAUAUUGGACAAUGGAUGGAAAUCUGAUCCAGCCAUGCCGCGUGAAGGACGACGGUCCUAUGGAUUGUAAACUUCUUUUGUAUGGGAGCAAUAAGGUCUACGUGUAGAUCGAUGAGAGUACCAUACGAAUAAGCAUCGGCUAACUCCGUGCCAGCAGCCGCGGUAAUACGGAGGAUGCGAGCGUUAUCCGGAUUUAUUGGGUUUAAAGGGUGCGUAGGCGGUUGUAUAAGUCAGCGGUGAAAUUUUCCGGCUUAACCGGGAGACUGCCGUUGAUACUGUAUAGCUUGAAUACGGUUGCUGUGAGUGGAAUGUGUGGUGUAGCGGUGAAAUGCAUAGAUAUCACACAGAAUAUCGAUUGCGAAGGCAGCUCACAAAGCCGUUAUUGACGCUGAUGCACGAAAGUGUGGGGAUCAAACAGGAUUAGAUACCCUGGUAGUCCACACUGUAAACGAUGAUAACUAGCUGUCGGCGAUACAUAGUCG